CGUCACUUUAAGAGAUGGCACGAGCUGCCACCGACCUACUGCUCCGAUGUCAACAGUUCGUUUGCCUACGUUCCUCCAGGAGGAGACUCUAACACGCUGUCUCCAGACAUACGGGUCUCGUCGUUUUCUGGAAACACGUGGAAGCCGUGGAUGCUAGCAGUUUGUGAAAAGGAGCGGAAGGUUUUGUGCAUGGGAGGUGGACAGGUUAUCCCGCAUCUUGAAAAGUGGGUUGCUAUUUAUGACAAGCACGUCCUACCCCUUCUCUCCCUCGAAACCGUUAGG